rnacentral:lncRNA from 1 species
GCCAUUCUGGGCAGAUGCAGAUCGCGUUCUGGAAUGAGCUUUCCAAUCCUAGAGCUGCGCGGGGACCCCGACUGAAGGCGGGGGGAGUUCGCUGUUCCUAUAUUUAGAUUCCCCAUGGAGUUUCUGUGCAGGGGCUUUCAGGGUGAAGGAUCUAGAGACUUAAAAUGACUCGUGUACCCGCUUUAAACUUGAAAACCAAGGUUUUUCGCAGGCAGUAAAAUGAAAACCACUUCCUCUAAACCAAGCUGUUUUCCUUGUUAGACUUCUACUACAGCGGUCAGGUUACUUCCAUCUCAUGUCGCAGUUGGGCAGGAAGUCUCAGGAACGCGAGGCACAGGGACAUGUUUCUCUGGAGGAGAGCCAGCUGCUUAAUUUUCAAAUAAUGCUUUCCUGGGGCGCAACAAUAAUACUAGUGAAAUUGUGAUGCUGAUUGAGUAAAUGCCAAUAAACCUUUAAAAAAUUAGCUCUGCUGAUUGGUAGGGAUUUAGAGCUUAGACACACAGCACAGAGAUGGGGAUCCGCCCAUGUAUUCACCAAUACUUAGUGUGAGGGUUGCUAGGAACCCAGAAACCUCGCUUCCCCCUUAAACGUUCCUUCCAUUAGGUUUGCAUCUUCAAAAGGGGUGGUCAGACAAAACAGCACACAAUUUGGCAUCAAACACCUCUGCCUGCUCCCACUGGGGAAGACUGGUCUAGCUCCAAACCAUAACCAUCCUAUCUUUCC